GACGAACGCUGGCGGCGUGCUUAACACAUGCAAGUCGAGCGGUAAGGCCCUUUCGGGGGUACACGAGCGGCGAACGGGUGAGUAACACGUGGGUGACCUGCCCUUAGCUCUGGGAUAAGCCUGGGAAACUGGGUCUAAUACCGGAUAUGACUCCAUGACGCAUGUUGUGGGGUGGAAAGCCUUGUGCGGCUAGGGAUGGGCCCGCGGCCUAUCAGCUUGUUGGUGGGGUGAUGGCCUACCAAGGCGACGACGGGUAGCCGGCCUGAGAGGGCGACCGGCCACACUGGGACUGGGACACGGCCCAGACUCCUACGGGAGGCAGCAGUGGGGAAUCUUGCGCAAUGGGCGAAAGCCUGACGCAGCGACGCCGCGUGAGGGAUGACGGCCUCGG
rnacentral:rRNA from 1 species